rnacentral:lncRNA from 1 species
UGGAAAUUGUAAUAUCAAAUUAAAAAAAUUGGGUUUCCAAAUAAAAUAAAAAAUCCUACAAUAUUCAUCUUCUUCAAUCUUCAUCUUCAAACUCAUUUUCUUCUCUCUCAUCUUACCUCACUCCUGAAAUCAAAGAGGGGAAAUGGGUAGCAUCAAAAAGGUUCAUGUCUCAUGAUUAGCAUAAACCCAAAUCCAAAUCUGAAAUCAUUGUUUUUUACUGAUAAGAAAAUCGGUGGCAUCAAAUUAGAAGAAGAAGAUGAAAUCCAAAUCCGAAUCUGAAACGAUUUCUUUAGAAGAUAAAGAUGAAGUGUUGUUCUUCUUUGUGUCUUUAAAGUUGCAGGAGGAAAUCUUUCUUUUGUUUGUGAAAUGAGUUUGGGUGUGGGAUUCGACCAUGUUUGUUUGGUGCGAAAACUGCAGAAUAAGAAGCGGAGGAGAGUGAAGAAGAAGAUGAUUCGGCCAUGUUUGUGAAAUGGUUAACUUAUUCAAUGAGUUCAUAGGGAUGAACAAUAUUAUGUGAAUUGAUGUGUGUUGCAGGUUGUGCGUAAGCCAACACAUCAAGCACGCUGCUCUCUUAACUUCCACAAUCAUGAGCAAGGCCAAAUGUGAAGCUAUUCCGCCGUUGUCGCCGCUAUGGUUAUUUCGCGAACGUCGUCUUCGUUAGGAAUGGAAUGGAAUGGAAUGGAAGCCAUGUCUAUUUGUUUUCUGGGUUGGUGAUGUUUAUUGUUUUGUGUUGCGUUUUUUAUUUUGCACCAGAUCUGGAAUAAAGAAAGAGAUGGUUGAAGGAGUGACUG